rnacentral:piRNA from 1 species
UGGGAACGAGAUGACACUCGUGGAGGCGUC